GCUAGCAGCCAUAUCACCCUGCAGCUCCCAGCUGGCAGCCCAUUAAAACAAAGCAGGUGGGAGCCUGGUCAGUACCUGGAUGGGAGACCUCCUGGGAAAAACUAAGGCUGCUGCUGGAA
rnacentral:rRNA from 1 species